rfam:Triticum urartu cultivar G1812 contig621225, whole genome shotgun sequence.
GAGUUACUCUCUCCGUCCGGAAAUACUUGUCAGCAAAAUGGACAAAAAAAAUGUAUCUAGAACUAAAAUACAUCUAGAUACAUUCCCUUUUAUUCAUUUUGAUAACAAGUAUUUCCGGACGAAGGGAGUACUUU